CCUAACUACGCUGUUAGAAGGAAGACUUGGCUCAAGCGCUGAAGAAGGACGUGGCAAGCAACGAUAUGCCCCGGCGAGGCGCACGCGGCCGUAGAACCGGGGAUUUCCGAAUCAGACUUCUGAGCGAAAGCUGAUCCGUGAGGAUGGGAAACGCAGGGAAUUGAAACAUCUUAGUACCUGCAGGAAAAGAAAUCAAACGAGAUUCUGUUAGUAGCGGCGAGCCAAAGCAGAACAGGCCAAACUGAAUCCUCCCUUGAAAGAGGGCGGAGAUGUGGUGUUGUAGGACUGCCUAUAAAGCUCUCUCUCGGGAACCUGAAUUUCCCUGGAAAGGGAAGCCAUAGAGGGUGAUAGCCCCGUAAGGGCAACUAAGAAGGGCAAGGGCAGAUUCCUGAGUACCGUUUAUCGGAUAUUAAACGGGAAGCAGGGAGCUAUCAGCUUCCAAGCCUAAAUACGUCUUGAGACCGAUAGCGAAUAGUACCGCGAGGGAACGUUGAAAAGAACCCUUAACGGGGAGUGAAAAGAGUCUGAAAUCUAACAGCUAUAGUCGGUCACGGCUCUAAGGAGUCGUGUCAUGCGUUUCGAAUAACGUGCCAGGGAGUUCAUCUGAGUAGCGAGGCUAAUCCUGAUGGAGGAGCCAUAGCGAAAGCAACAUGCUCGCAGCUGCGCAAGCAGCGAGGAGCGCGGAGUGAAAGCUCCGGGAGUUACUUGGAUGUGACCCGAAGCCAGGCGAUCUAUUCCAGGGCUAGGCGAAGCGGGGGUAAGACCCUGUGGAAGCCUUAAGGGGUACUGGGUGCAACCGUUCCUGUGACCUUGGAUUAGGGGUGAAAAGCCCAUCGAGCCUGGUGAUAGCUGGUUCCUGCCCAAAUUGGCCGCAGUCAAGCCUCAAGUCAGAUAGCCUGAAAGGUAGAGCGACGGAUUAGGGGUUGAGGCACCGAAAGGUGUCGGCCUUUUGUCCAACUCCGAAUGUUCAGGCAUCGUAGCUUGGGAGACGGGGAGCCGGGGUAAGCUCGGUUUCCGAGAGGGGAACAACCCAGACUGCAGUUAAGGCCCCUAAAUGCCGGCUAAGUGUUAAAGGCAGAAGGGCGUUUGCAGCCGAAGACAGCGAGGAGGUUGGCUUAGAAGCAGCCAUCCUUUAAAAAGUGCGUAACAGCUUACUCGUCAAGGUUGCAAGCACCUAAAAUGGACGGGGCUAAGCCGGUUGCCGAUACUGCAGACCCAGAAAUGGUGUGGUAGGCAGGCGUUCUGCAAGGGAAGAAGCACGUCCACGAGGACGUGUGGACCAUGCAGAAAUGAAAAUCCUGGCGGUAGUAGGAUCAUAGCAGCUUGAGAACAGCUGUCACCGAAAGGGCAAGGGUUCCUUGACAAUGUCCAUCAGUCAAGGGUUAGCCGGUCCUAACCAAAGCCCCAGCUGGGCUUAAGGGAAAGGGAUAACGGUUAAUAUUCCGUUGCUCCUGGGGUAUGAGCGGCGACGCAAGUCUAGCUUGCGACGCCUCUGGCUAGGUUGACACUGCAUAAGUGUUAACCGGAACAAGUCAGCGGAGUAUCGUAAUGAUGAGAAGCUGAUUAAAUCCGGGAAUAGUGCGAAAGCAUUCAGCCAAUGCCCGGGGCCCGUGAAAAGUGAGCUGGAAAAAAUCCCCAGGAACCGUACCAAGAACCAGCACUGGUGCCCCUAGGUGAAAAGCCUAAGGUGUGUAGGUGUAAUCUGGCUAAGGGAACUCGGCAAAUUAGCCCCGUGACUUCGGUCUAAGGGGUCCCUGUUCUCGUCUCUGCAUGGAGGCGUUUUCAGGGCGCAGUGACAAGGAGGGCCCGACUGUUUAACAAAAACUUAACUUACCGCAACCCCGAAAGGGUUAGUAUGGUAGGUGACGUCUGCCCAGUACCAGUACUUCAAACUCCUUUACAAGGGAGCUAAGAGCUGGCAAACGGCGGGAGUAACUAUAACUCUCUUAAGGUAGCGAAAUACCUUGUCGUUUGAUUGACGACGUGCAUGAAUGACGUAACGAGGUCCUUACUGUCCCUAGCCAGAGUCCUCCGAACACUCUCUCCUGGUGCAAAGGCCAGGGUUCUCCAGUGGGAAGCGAAGACCCCGUGAAACUUUACUGUAGCUUGUUGCUGCAAUGUGGGCUUUGCUGCGUAGUGUAGGUGGGAGCAAACUGGGUCGCAAGAUUCAGAUAGCGACGAUGAAACACCACUCUGCGGAGCUUAUGUUGCUAACUUCGCGAGAAGGACAACAAUUGGCAGACAGUUUGGCUGGGGUGGCACUCUGCUGAAAGGAUAUCAGCAGAGCCCAAAGGUUGGCUCAGGCGGGUUGGAAAUCCGCCGUGGAGUGCAAAGGCAUAAGCCAGCCUGACUGGAUUCCUAACAAGACAGAAUCCAGAGGCGAAAGCCGGGCUUAGCGAACCCCUGUGUCCCUACUGAUAGGGGCCAGGGAUGACCGAAAAGUUACUCCGGGGAUAACAGAGUUGUCUCGCCCGAGAGCUCCUAUCGACGGCGAGGCUUGCUACAUCGAUGUCGGCUCUUCCUAUCCUAGCCGUGCAGAAGCGGCUAAGGGUGGGGGUGUUCACCCAUUAAAAGGGAUCGCGAGCUGGGUUCACAACGUUGUGAGACAGUUGGUUUGAUAUCUACUGGAGAUGCGAGGAUGUCUGAAGGAAAGGGUCAUUUAGUACGAGAGGAACGACGACCCGGCGCCUCUGGUCAACCGGUUGUCCAACAGGGCAGGCCGGGCAGCUACGCGCUAGAGGAUAAGUGCUGAAAGCAUCUAAGCACGAAGCCUCCCUUGAAAAUAGACGUCUUGGACUCCCGCAGAACACGGGUUUGAUAGAGCAGGGGUGUAAGCACCAAGGUAACGAGGUGUUCAGCCCGCUGCCACUAAUAGUCCAUUUGGAUACGCA
rnacentral:rRNA from 1 species